rnacentral:rRNA from 1 species
CCUACGGGAGGCAGCAGUAGGGAAGCUUCCACAAUGGGCGAAAGCCUGAUGGAGCAAAGCCGCGUGGGUGAAGAAGGUCUUCGGAUCGGAAAACCCUGUUGUUAGAGAAGAAAGUGCGGGAGAGUAACUGUUCACGUCUCGACGGUAUCUAACCAGAAAGCCACGGCUAACUACGUGCCAGCAGCCGCGGUAAUACGUAGGUGGCAAGCGUUAUCCGGAUUUAUUGGGCGUAAAGGGAACGCAGGCGGUCUUUUAAGUCUGAUGUGAAAGCCUUCGGCUUAACCGGAGUAGUGCAUUGGAAACUGGGAGACUUGAGUGCAGGAGAGGAGAGUGGAACUCCAUGUGUAGCGGUGAAAUGCGUAGAUAUAUGGAAGAACACCAGUGGCGAAGGCGGCUCUCUGGUCUGUAACUGACGCUGAGGUUCGAAAGCGUGGGUAGCAAACAGGAUUAGAUACCCCUGUAGUC